rnacentral:rRNA from 1 species
GGCUCAGGAUGAACGCUGGCGGCGUGCUUAACACAUGCAAGUCGAACGAAGCACUACGACAGAAGCCUCGGGUGGAAGAUGUUGUGACUGAGUGGCGGACGGGUGAGUAACGCGUGGGAAACCUGCCCUAUGCAGGGGGAUAACAGUCGGAAACGACUGCUAAUACCGCAUAAGCGCACAGCAUCGCAUGAUGCAGUGUGAAAAGCCUUUACGGCAUAGGAUGGUCCCGCGUCUGAUUAGCUAGUUGGUGAGGUAACGGCCCACCAAGGCGACGAUCAGUAGCCGACCUGAGAGGGUGAACGGCCACAUUGGGACUGAGACACGGCCCAAACUCCUACGGGAGGCAGCAGUGGGGAAUAUUACACAAUGGGGGAAACCCUGAUGCAAGCGACGCCGCGUGAGCGAUGAAGUAUUUCGGUAUGUAAAGCUCUAUCAGCAGGGAAGAAAAUGACGGUACCUGACUAAGAAGCACCGGCUAAAUACGUGCCAGCCGCGGC